rnacentral:rRNA from 1 species
GUGUCGUCAGCUCGUGUCGUGAGAUGUUGGGUUAAGUCCCGCAACGAGCGCAACCCCUACGUUUAGUUGCUAACGCGUGAAGGCGAGCACUCUAGACGAACUGCCGUUGGACAAAACGGAGGAAGUGGGAUGACGUCAAAUCAUCAUGCCCCUUAUGUUCUGGGCUACACACGUGCUACAAUGGCCGGUACAGACGGACGCAAAGCCGCGAGGUGGAGCAAAUCCUAAAAAGCCGGUCUCAGUUCGGAUUGCAGGCUGCAAUUCGCCUGCAUGAAGUCGGAAUCGCUAGUAAUCGCAGGUCAGCUAUACUGCGGUGAAUACGUUCCCGGGUCUU